rnacentral:rRNA from 1 species
UACGUAGGCAGCAAACGUUGUUCGGAGUUACUGGGCGUAAAGAGUACGUAGGCGGUUUGCCAAGUUUGGUGUGAAAUCUCCUGGCUUAACUGUGAGCGUGCGGGCGAUACGGGCAGACUGGAGUACUGCAGGGGAGACUGGAAUUCCUGGUGUAGCGGUGGAAUGCGCAGAUAUCAGGAGGAACACCGGUGGCGAAGGCGGGUCUCUGGGCAGUAACUGACGCUGAGGAGCGAAAGCGUGGGGAGCGAACAGG